rnacentral:rRNA from 1 species
UGCAAAUACCGCGAGGAGGAGCGACCCCAAAACGCCGUCUCAGUUCGGAUCGCAGGCUGCAACCCGCCUGCGUGAAGUCGGAAUCGCUAGUAAUCGCGGAUCAGCAUGCCGCGGUGAAUACGUUCCCGGGCCUUGUACACACCGCCCGUCACACCAUGAGAGUCGGGAACACCCGAAGUCCGUAGCCUGACCGCAAGGAGGGCGCGGCCGAAGGUGGGUUCGAUAAUUGGGGUGAAGUCGUAACAAGGUAAC